CUCAAGGAGUAACGGCAUCACAGUAUUAAGAACGCAGUGAAGCUUGCCCGUGUCACCGGGUUAGGCGCGUAACCGACCACGUGUUUGUUUUGGUACAUGCAAUGCGUGUGCAUGGUCACUUGGGCAAAUCCUUCCUGACUGGCGUCAUUCUGUGUAAAUUACCGGUAAGUAUGACCUAAUAUAUAUUGUUACCUUGAAAGAAAGACUUGUUUUGUGGUGUAGUAUAAAUCAUCACUUUGUUUACAGUGCGAAGAUUUCUGGGGUUUGAUUUCAGAGCCUCUGUUGCCAUAGUCUUACCACCAACCACUGCCUCAGUGCUGAACCUUGGCCUCAUAGGACGCAGGCUCAUUUCAUGACACUUUUUUUUUUAGAGGGGGGAGAAAAGGUGCGUCUUAUGAGCCAUCAAAUACGGUAUAAAAUGUUGCAAAUAACACCUUAUAUUUUGUCAUGUAGUAUUUUAAAAUAAGUAGGCGCUACAUCUGGCAAGACACUUAUGACAGACUUCUGAUAAAUGUAUUAUGAAAAGUGUUCAAAGUUGUGAUACACAUCCGUCUUAACUGUGACACAUUGCAUAUCUCAAUGAAGAAUAUGGGCCCACUCCCUUCUACCCCCGCCAGCAGUACGACAAGAUCUGGUGUGGCGUUACAUUGUGGAAUAUGCAAUUUUUUUAAUGUUACCAAAAAAUUAUGAUGAGUUUUGAGCAAAACGAGUUGCAAAGAACCUUCCAGAACGCACAUCCCUUGCAACUCCAACAUUUGCUGUACUCAUCUCCAUGUCCAGUUCUUAUACUUGAACAUACAAAUCUUCAUGUGGAUAAACUACUUGUUAAUCACAACACUAGUAAUGCCUCAGGAACCAAGGCAAUGGAAAAGAGCUAAUGUAGUGCCAAUACACAAAGGGAGAAAUAAAAUGGAAACAUUAAAUUAUGGAUCAGUGUCACUAACAAGUAUUGUAAGCAAGCUUUGUGAAAUAGUAAUUAAAGACAGAUGGGUGCAGUAUUGAGAAGAUGGAAAGAUUAUUACAGAAAAGCAAUUUGGAUUCAGGAAAGGAAGAUCCAGUGUCACAAAUCUAUUGAGCUUCUACAUGAGAGUAAUAGAUGGAGUGCAAGAGAGGGACGGAUGGGUUGAUGUGGUAUACCUGAAUCUCAAAAAAGCAUCCGAUAAAGCUCCCCACAAAAGUCGUAUGUGGAAGCCAGAGAAUGGAGGAGGGCUAAAGGGAGCAACAUUGAAAUGGAUGGAGGACUAUUUACAAGGGAGGGAAGUGAGAGAUGGGUUGAUCCGGUACACCAGGAUCUCUAAAAAGCAUCUGAUAAAGUUCCCCUUAAAAGUCUCAUGUGGAAGCUAGAGAAUGGAGAAGGACUAAAGGGAGCAACAUUGAGAUGGAUGGAGGAUUAUUUACAAGGGAGGGAAGUGAGAACAGUAAUUAGAGAUGCUAAUUCAAGUUAGCAGAAAGUGACAAGUGGGGUACCGCAAGGGUCUUUGUUGGCACCUAUUAUGUUUCAGAUAUAUGUAGAUGAUAUGACAGGGCAUCUAUAUAGUUAUAUAAAUCUUUUUGCUGAUGAUGCAAAAAUAAUGAAAAUAAAGAAUGAAACUGACAGCAAGGAAUUACAAAAGGAUAUUGACAAGAUACAUGCAUGGAGCCAAAGAUGGAAACUAGAAUUUAAUGCCAGAAAAUGCCACAUGAUGGAAAUAGGAAUGUAAAAAGAGACCUUCAUGGAAUUACAAAAUGGGAGGAGAAAUAAUAACAAAAAGUAAUGAGGAAAAAGAUUUUUGAGUAAUGAUUCAGGACACACUAUCACCUGAAAGGCACAUAAUCAGAAUAUUUAGCUCUAUAUACAGCUUGUUGAUAGACAUUAGGGUGGUGUUUAACUAUAUAGAUAAAGAAAUUAUGAAGCAAGUUAUAAUAAGCAUGAUACAUCCUAAAUUGAACAUGCAGCAGUAGUUUGAGCUCCACGUAGAAAAAAAGACAUAUGGAGACUGGAAAGAAUACAGAGGAUAGCAACGAAGAUGGUAUCAGAAUUAAAAGACUUAAGCUAUGAAGAAAGACUUGAAGAGAUGGGAUUACCAACACUACAAGGGAGAAGAGAAAGAGGAGACCUGAUAACAAUGUACAAAUUAGUAAUAGUAAACAAUACAGAAAGAACAGACAGAAAUGACUUGGCACCACAGAUGGAGCAGGGAGAGAGACAGACAAGGAGGCAUGGGAAGAAAAUAAAGGAGUGUAUGUUCAAGCAACGUCAAGAAAUACAGCUUCCCUUGUAGAACUAUUGAAAUCUGGAAUGAUUUGAAGGAAAAAGUAGUUGUGGUUAACAGUGUUUAAAGACAAACCAAAUAAAUAUGGUUAUUGAGACAGGACAAAAUGAGCUUUGGCUCGUGCCCUGUACAAUACGGCUAGGUUAAUACACACACACUGAUGUACACUGUGGACUACAUGCAAGAAUUAAAUGUAAGAUACAAAGUACACUUCCUGUUGUAAACAGGGUACAAUAGUGCCACUCUAUAAAAACAAGGGAGACAUCCAGGACGUUAGUAAUUACAGGGGCAUCACCUUACUUAGCUGCAUGGGGAAGCUCUUCACCCCCAUACUUAAUGAAAGACUUAUGAUUAUUCAAACACCUUAUCUAUCAUUAAUGAAACACGAGCGGGCUUUAGACAUGGAUAUUCCACUCUGGAUCAUAUAUUUUUGUUGAAAUGUGUAAUUGAUUAUUUAACUGGAAAAAGAGAAAGCUAUUUUGUUGAUUUGUUGAUCACAAGAAAUCCUUUGAUAUGGUAUGGCGUGAAGGUUUAUGGUGUAAGCUUGUGAAGGAAAAGGUGCAAGGGAAAAUUCUAAAUGUAAUAGAAAAUAUGUGAUAAUAUCAGAUCAUGUGUCAUGCUUAACCAGGAGAUUUCAGACACCUUUGUUUGCAAUGUAGGGUUAAGACAGGGGGAAAAUUUAUCACCAGUGCUUUUUGCUUUUUAUUUGAAUGAUAUUGAAAGUAAAUUAAUUGAAUAUAAUUGCAGUUAUGUAAAUUUUGGUGAUGAUUUCUUAAACAUGUACCUUAAACUAUUUGUUAUUAUGUAUGCAGAUGAUACAGUUAUUUUGUGUGAUAGUGAGGAUGGAAUGAAGCAGGCACUGGUUGCUCUGAAUUUAUAUUGUAAUGAAUGGAAAUUGAAGCUAAAUUGUAACAAAACAAAAGUAGGGAAGAGAAAAUUUAUCUAUGAAUUUGAAUUUGGUGGUAAAAACAAUGAAGUAGUGACUGAGUAUAAGUAUAUUGGAGUGUUAUUAAAUUAUAAUUGGAGGUUUCACAAAGGUGAGCUGGAGCUAAAAGAGAUGGCCACAAGAGCAAUGUACUCAUUAAUAAGUAAGUGUAGGAAGUUUGACUUGCCAGUGGAUAUACAACUCGAAUUAUUUACCGCCACGGUGUUACCUAUAUUGUCUUAUGCAUCUGAAAUUUGGGGUUACCAUAUUGCUAGGGAGUUAGAGUAUAUGUACAUGAAAUUUCUAAAACAGGUUUUGGGUGUUCAUAAGAAUACUUGUAAUGACAUGGUGUAUGGUGAACUGGGUGUAUUUCCACUUGAUAUUUAUAUAAAGAAAAAAAUGAUAGGUUAUUGGUCUAGGCUAAUUUCAGGUAAAAAUACUAAAUUGUGUUAUGUAAUGUACCAAUGUCUAUUGCAGCUGGAUAGCUUAGGGCUUUAUACUUCUCCAUGGUUAGCUUGUAUAAAGAAUAUUUGUAAUGACUGUGGAAUGUUUGGUAUGUGGUUGUUGCAAGAUGUUCCUAAUUCAAGAUGGGUGAAGAAAGCUGUGGAACAGAGAUUGAAAGAUCAGUGGCUUGUAACUUGGCAUCAUAAUUUUGAAACAAAAUCAUUAAGUAGUAAUUAUAGGGUGUUUAAGACAGAUUUUGGCAGAGAACAAUAUUUAGGUAUCAAGGUAGGUUCAAGGUAUCAGUAGAGAAGAUAGGGUAUGUAACAAGUGUAAUGCUGAGGUAGUUGGAGAAGAAUUUCAUGUUCUUUUUGAAUGUACGGAUGUGGAAAUUGUUAGGUUACAUAAUAUGUAUAUAGCAAAUUAUUACAUAAAUAAGCCAACACAAUUCAAAUAUGUUUUGUUCAUGCAAAGUACAAGUUCAGGUGUGAUGAAGAAAUUAUCUUUGUUUUUGAGGAUGGUGCUACACAUGUUUAGGUAAAUAGUGUGCAAAACAGCCCAAUAGUUUUUCUAAUUUCUUAAUUAAUAAUAGUAUGUAUCAUUAUAUAUGUAUACACAUUUUGUUUUAUUAGUUUUUGCCAUUGCUUACAGUGUAUUUCAUUUGUAUGUAUUUUUUUAUGUAAUAUUAUGCACAUUCUGUAUAUAAUUUAUAGUGUUUGUAUUCUUUUGCUUGAGAGCUGUGCUCCAUACUUUUAUAUAAAGUCUGAGCUUACUCAAUAAAUUUAAUUCAAUUCAAUUCAGUUCAGUUCAAUUCACACACACACACACACACACACACACACACACACACACACACACACACACACACACACACACACACACACACACACACACACACACACACGCACGCAUAUGUGUGUGUGUGUGUGUGCGCAUGCAUGCACGCAUGCACACAUGCACGCACACACACACAGAUACACACACACAGAUUUAGAUGCAUUAGUGCUGCACUGCUGCAUUGCCAGACUCAAUCAAAAGCUUUUGAUAUGUUUGAGGCAACAGUUAAAGUUUCACUCAAAUCCUUAAAAGAGGAUGACCAAGACUCAGUAAGGAAAGCCAGAUCACCAGUAGAGCGACAGUUAUGGAACCCAUACUGCCAAUCCAAUAGAAAGUUGUGAAGUGAUAGAUAUUUAAGAAUCUUCCUGUUAAGGAUAGGGUUCAAGAAAUUUAGAAAGGCAAGAAAUUCAGGCGAUAGGACGGUGGUUUGAGGGAUUAGAGCAGUCAUUCAGUUUAGGAACAGGCUGAAUGUAGGCAAACUUCCAGCAGUGACAGUGAUGUUUGAAGGUGACUCAUCACCAGGAAACUCAUGCACAACAUAAUGUCUUCCACUCAUAAGCUGGUCACAAAUACACCAAGGUGACAGAUGGACACUCAAACACUCCCUGGUGUUUUCCUCCUCCAGGCUGCACUUACACACAUGCCACAGAUCAUAUGGAUAAUAUUCUGUUAGUGAAUAUAAAAAUGGUCAUAGUUUAAUGUAAUGUCAAAUUUUAAGUGUCUCAAUAUAUUAAUGAGAAAAUGAGCUGUAAAUUUGGUGUUUAGGUGUCACAAUGGGUUGUCUGGUAGAUACCCAUUCACUCAUAACUCUGAAGAUGUUAAGGCAACAUGAGUCUCACUAACAUAUGUUAAAUCAUUCCGGGCUUUACUUACAUUUGUCUUAGUGAGAGUUGACAGCCUUAUAAUUUAUGCAUUCAUAACUACUCUCAGUCCAGCCCUGUCAUGACCACCAUUUCUUCUUGCUCCACUGACAUCACUCUUGCAUUUACCAUUCUCUUCACAUCAUCCGUCUACUCCACUCGGCCCUAUCAUGACCACCGUUCUUCCUCGCUCUGCAGGAGAGGCCAGAGUCCAGGCAGGAUGCCUUGCUCAGAACCAGCCAGGCUACCUCUGUGCAGCUUCCUCAAAGGGUGCUGCAAGACUGGCCAUGGCAUGUGCUGUUGGAAGUAGUGCUGUAGUAGAAGCUGUGAGGCUGGGCUGCAGUGUGAGUGACUGGCAGCAGCAGCAGCAGUCUGCCUGGGUGUGGGGAGGUGCAGGUGUGAUGACCAAGGAUCACCAGGAGGCGGGCAGCUCUAGCUACAAAGCAGAGAGGAAGUUUGAGUGCCAGCAGUGUGAAAAAACCAUGGAGUCUAGAACUGGUCUGAAGCACCACGUCCUGACACACGGUAGUGUUGGAAAUUAUGAUUGUCCAGGAUGUGGAAAGAAAUUUAUCAACAAGUCUAACUUAACCAGACACAUCUUGACACACAGUGGUGUUAAAAAUUAUGAGUGUCUGAAAUAUGGAAGGAAAUUUACUCAAGUCUAACCUCACCAAACACAUCCUAACACACAGUGGUAUUAAAAAUUAUGAAUGUCUAGAAUGCAGAGAAUUUUCCCAAAAGCCUCAUCUCACCAGACACAAAGUGUCUGGUGAGAAACUAUGAAUGUCUAGUGUGGGAAAAAUUUACCCAAAAGACUGACCUCACCAAACACAGAGACACACUAUAGUGUUAAAAGUUACAAAUGUCAAGAACAUGGAGAGAAAUUUACGUGUAAGUCUUGCCUCACCACACACAACAUGACAUCCAGUGGUGUUAAAAACUAUGAAUGUCUGCAGUGUGGAAUGAAAUUUCCCUGAAAGUCUAACCCGACCAGACACACUGUGACACACAAUGGUGUAAGAAAGUAUGAGUGUGAAGAGUGUGGCAAAAGAUUCACUACUGGUUCUAGGCUCAAUGAACACACCUUCAGACACACUGGUUUGAGCGAGUUCCAAGUGUGAUGUCUGUAGGCAAGUGUUUUAAGACAAAGUCUGAGAUUACCAAGCACAUGAAAGUCCACUUUUGAGGUAGUGUGGACAAGUGGACUUGUGGACAAGUGUGGUUACACCCAUGCCUGUGGGAGUGUCAUCUGUGGCAAUGUGUGGUGGUGGUGGUGGGGAGUGUGUUGUGCCUGUGGGGGACAGCUAACUCGGCACUCGAACAACUCAUCACUUGGAAAGUGUUGCCACAUGACUGUUCUUUGCUUCUGAUGGCAAUUCUGGAAUUGAUUGUGAUGUCACUGAAAAUUAAAAUGUGAAAAAAAAUCCUUAAAAUUUGCAAACAAGUUUUGAUGCAUGCAAGAUAUAGAGUGUUUAAUGGUGCCUGAUUACUGGGAAGAAAAGAAUGAAGGCUGCCGGCAAGCCCAGCGUUGUCUUUGUCACACUGAGGUGGUUGGGACGGUGGUGGCAGAUGCACUGUGGCAAGACACCUCGGGAUGUGGUGAGCCCCUGAAGGCUGCUGCAUCACUUCAUCCUGCACAAGACAAGUGUACACUCCCUUCCUGCUGCAGGGACCUGCUCAGCACACCACCACCACCGCCACCAGUGCGCAUCACCAGCACAGUCUGGAGGAUAGGAGGAAAUGUUGUUCCAGAUUCCAAGCUUGAAAAUCCAAGGCAAAUAGACUUGUAGAUGUCUGGUGUUGCAUUGUUAGAAUCUGGAAGUGUGGAUCCUCACUCCUUGAUCAAGCAGCAGCAGUGGCAGCAGUCAUUGCUGCCCAGAGGAGAGGAUGCAUCAGGAUGCAUCUGAGAGUGCUCAUUGGCUGCCGGAGGCGAUAUGUCACUGAUUCAAUGUAACACGCAAGGCAGCCAAUCACAGGAAGGCUUUGUGUUAUCACCAAGAAUGCCAUGAGACAUUGUUUAUAAACUGUUAUGUGCCCACAGCCACCAAUCAUCAUAGUAUUCCAGGGAGUAAAAAAUAAUGGCUAAUGAUUUCCAUAAAAACAAGAACCAUAUUGAUUCAAAACAGGCCAAAAAAUACGAGAAAUAAAUAGUUUCAUCCACAUUAGAAAACUGGUGGGAGUAAAAAUUAGCCCAUUAGCAUAUUUGCUUAUUAUUUUAUCUUGACCAAACUGUAAAUUGCAUAUGGAAUUUAGUUAACUAAUGUUUUGGACACUGCUUUAAGUAAUAUGACCAAAUUCCCUAAAUGACUUUGUUGCAUAAUGGGAGAUAAAAAUUUUCUUUCUGCUCACCCUUUGGGAUCCAAACUUCUAGAAAAAAGAAAAUCAUUUUAAACAUGUUCUUCAUUGUUGAGGUUAAAUAUAUGUUCUACAUUGUUGAGGAAGAGUUAGGUUAGGGUAGGUUGUUAGGUUGGUUAGCUAGGUCGGACUGAUGGUAGCAAUGCUUAAAACCCCUCCAAAGUUUGCUGUUGUGUACAUGUUGUAAUUUAAUGUUGCUGUGUAAAAUUUAUCCAGAUAGUUGAUAACCAUAACUAAGAAACUGCUAAGCACUGGAUUAUAGAUAGCAGUGUGUACAGUAAGUACCUGUGGCAGUCAGGUCUGAGAUGGUGACCACUGCAGUAAUUAAAAUCUUCAAGAUGAGCACUUACGCAUUCAAGUAUUACAACAGGUGGACUUAGUUCCAUGCAGGUGAAGGACCUCCAGAGGACACCACCUACACUGUUGUCCUGCGGACACUGUCACUAACAGCUGUUUGCAGAACUGCCAGUCCCUGACAAUCUGUUAGGGCUGAGACGGUGCCUCCUGAUGAAGGACUUUUGGAUUUGGCAUUUGGGAACCGUUACCCUGAGUGGAUGCCCUUCCUACCCUCGGACCGUAGCCAGGAUUUGAACCCGUGCGCCUGAUGACCACUUGGCCCCCAAAGCGCACGCGGUUCCACUGUACCACGGCGGCUCCCAAAAUCACCGUGACCCGUGAAGAGCCCCGGGGUCAGGUCAAGGACGAGGAAGCCUACAGGAGGCGCCUCUCCAAGACCGACCAAAUGUUUCAUCCCCAGCGGGAUUCGAACCCGCGGCCUCUGGAUUAGAAGUCCAGCGCGCUAUCCACUGCGCCAUGGGGACUGUUAUAUAUAUAUAUAUAU